GAGUUUGAUCCUGGCUCAGGAUGAACGCUGGCGGCGUGCCUAAUACAUGCAAGUCGAACGCUUUGUGGUCCAACUGAUUUGAAGAGCUUGCUCAGAUAUGACGAUGGACAUUGCAAAGAGUGGCGAACGGGUGAGUAACACGUGGGAAACCUACCUCUUAGCAGGGGAUAACACUUGGAAACAAGUGCUAAUACCGUAUAACACUAAUAACCGCAUGGUUAUUAGUUAAAAGAUGGUCUUGCUAUCACUAAGAGAUGGUCCCGCGGUGUAUUAGCUAGUUGGUAAGGUAAUGGCUUACCAAGGCAAUGAUACAUAGCCGAGUUGAGAGACUGAUCGGCCACAAUGGGACUGAGACACGGCCCAUACUCCUACGGGAGGCAGCAGUAGGGAAUCUUCCACAAUGGACGAAAGUCUGAUGGAGCAACGCCGCGUGUGUGAUGAAGGGUUUCGGCUCGUAAAACACUGUCGUAAGAGAAGAAUGACAUUGAGAGUAACUGUUCAGUGUGUGACGGUAUCUUACCAGAAAGGAACGGCUAAAUACGUGCCAGCAGCCGCGGUAAUACGUAUGUUCCAAGCGUUAUCCGGAUUUAUUGGGCGUAAAGCGAGCGCAGACGGUUAUUUAAGUCCGAAGUGAAAGCCCACAGCUUAACUGUGGAAGUGCUUUGGAAACUGGAUAACUUGAGUGCAGUAGAGGAGAGUGGAAACUUCGAUGUGUAGCGGCGAAAUGCGUAGAUAUAUGGAAGAACACCAGUGGCGAACGCGGCUCUCUGGACUGUAACUGACGUUGAGGCUCGAAAGUGUGGUAGCAAACAGGAUUAGAUACCCUGGUAGUUCCACACCGUAAACGAUGAGUGCUAGAUG
rnacentral:rRNA from 1 species